GCCUUCGUAGUGUAGUGGUCAGCACGCUCGGCGCGUAUUCGAGAGGUCCGUGGUUCGAGUCCCGGUGAGGGCA
rnacentral:tRNA from 1 species